rnacentral:rRNA from 1 species
AUACAACUUUCAGCAACGGAUCUCUUGGCUCUCGCAUCGAUGAAGAACGCAGCGAAAUGCGAUAAGUAAUGUGAAUUGCAGAAUUCAGUGAAUCAUCGAAUCUUUGAACGCACCUUGCGCCCUUUGGCAUUCCAAAGGGCAUGCCUGUUUGAGUAUC